rnacentral:rRNA from 1 species
AUUGAACGCUGGCGGCAGGCCUAACACAUGCAAGUCGAACGAGUGGCGGACGGGUGAGUAAUGUCUGGGAAUCUGCCUGAUGGAGGGGGAUCACUCCUGGAAACGGUAGCUAAUACCGCAUACCAUCAGAUGUGCCCAGAUGGGAUUAGCUUGUUGGUGGGGUAACGGCUCACCAAGGCGACGAUCCCUAGCUGCUCUGAGAGGAUGACCAGCCACACUGGAACUGAGACACGGGCCAGACUCCUACUGGAGGCAGCAGUGGGGAAGAUUGCACAAUGGGCGCAAGCCUGAUGCAGACAUGCCGCGUGUAUGAAGAAGGCCUUCGGGUUGUAAAGUACUUUCAGCGGGGAGGCGUUACCAGCAGAAGAAGCACCGGCUAACUCCGUGCCAGCAGCCGCGGUAAUAC